CCAGGAGUAGUUACAGAGUUCAAGCUUGUUCGUGUCCUAAACCUUCAACUAACUGGUCAAGGCCACCGUGAUGAUGAUAUAGCAGACCUCACUGGGAUUUCAGAAAUGUUUCAACUGAGAUAUUUGAAGAUUGCAUCUGAUGUCUGCAUCAAACUGCCGAACAAUGUGCUACAGUACCUGGGAACACUGGAUAUUACAGAUGCAAGAUUUGCUCCUGUUCCAUGGGAUGUGAAUUUUCCACGGUUGCUGCACUUGCACCUGAGUCUUCCUGUCCAGAGAGAUCUGCUGGAUUGGGUGGAUAGAAUAGGGUCUCCCAGUUUAAUGAGCCUUGGCACGCUGAACUACCUGCAGGAGCUUCAUCUUACAAUUUCUUCAUUGUCUACUUUCAAGCAUGUGGUGAAAAACAUGGAAGCUCUGGGUUCUUUACUUGGAGGUCAUGACAACCUGAAAUCUAUAGCAGUGGCUCAUGCCUCACCGGUUAAAAAUACCGCAGCUUCAAAAACAAACAUUUUAUGGGAUUGUAUGGAACCUCCCCCCCUUCUCCAGAGAUUUGAAUUCUCACCACACAUCAGCUGCAUAUUCUCACAGGUACCUUCGUGGGUUGGAAAACUUGGCAACCUAUGCAUUUUGAAGAUUGCAGUGAGGGAGCUGAUGAUGAAUUCUGUCAAUAUUCUCAGAGGAUUGCCUGCCCUGACUGCUCUAUCUUUGUAUGUGGAGACAGCGCCUGAUGACAAUAUCAUCUUUGACAAGGCCGGGUUCUCAGUUCUUAAGUACUUCAAGUUUACGUUCAUGCGGGGUAUAGCUUGGGUAAAAUUUGAGGCGGAUGCAAUGCCUAAUCUCUGGAAGCUCAAGCUAGUUUUCAAGGCCAUCCCCCCAAUGGACCAUCCCCAGUGGAGAACCUAUGGACAUGGUACAGCAUUAAUCAACAUCGAUUAUAUGCCAGGCCUUAGAGAGAUCUUCACAAAAUUUGGGGGUACAGCUGCUGAUCUGGAGUAUGUCACGAGGAUUGGCAUAGCUAGUAAUCAUCCAAGCAAUCCUAUAAUUGACGUGCAAUUAGUGGAUUCUGGUUCCUAUGUUGAUGAAAGCACCGAGACUGAAAUAACAAGCACACAUGAGAUUUUGGAGGAAAAACCAGAUAGCAUAAACUGG
rnacentral:rRNA from 1 species